AUCGAAUUCCUGGGAACUCUGCUGGCCCCGGUGGCCUCUCGUGGCUGGUCACUGUGCGUGUCCCAUCUCUACUGAGUGAGGAAAUGAACACUGACAGAGUCGAGAAAAAAAACCCUGUUAACACCCACACAACACACCUUGUAACAUUACCUCCGCGUCUAUGGAAAGAACGCUUGGCGCUGUUUUGAGGAAUAUAAUAACCGGGGUAUACCGCGGGACGAAGCGCACUUGCCGAGGUGCCUCACCUGUGGGGACACUGAACAAGAUGGACGAAGAUCCCACAGGCGUUAGGCAGUUCAAGGCCAGCAGCACAGACCGCAGCACAAAGCCUCGCCGUGUUCGUCUCGACGAGCGGAAGGCACGAUUCUGCACUUCCGGCUAGGACACUAGCAAACGUCGACACUGGUCAAAAUGUCGGCCAUCCGGUCGACUACAGGCAGACAAGAGCUGGAUUAGAUGAGCAGACCGCACGAAACGAUAGCUGACCUUUCACACCCGCUUGCUCCUCAUUGUUACCCAGGAAGAUGAUUGUCUGCAUCGUCUGAGUGUAUUGCGGCUUGUAUGAUGUUUUGAUAUUUGGACUGCGGCUUGAUGUUGGUGCUGUGGUGUGGAGGACAUGGUCCGCUGAGCACCGACCUUUUGUCGUCACACCAUCUUCUGCACCUUCUGUCAUUUGGAAGAUCCUUGAGCUGACCACAGGCCAGGAUAAGGCGCUGUACAAGUGAACACAUUAUUAUUCUUGUUCGUGGGCAAAGUCGCCGCUCUCUUCUGGCGUCCGUCCUCUGGGCCGGCAUUCUGUUGACAUUUUGAUGUCCUGCAGAUAUUCUGCUGAUGCUUGCCUUCCUCCUAAGCGUUCUGUGUGCGAAACUGUGAAGGCCGCGGGCGCUCUACCUGCAACUUCUCUGUUCGUGUACAAGUGUGUCAGCGAUGUCGUCCCGAUAUUUGUGUUCUCUCUACAAAAUUUUAGUUUCGGGUGCUUCUCUGAGGCGUAAAAGAAUGUGGAAUCAAUACCAGACUGAAGUAAAGAUGUUUUCAUUUCUUUCUGACAUCUGUUCUAUAGAAAAGCAAUAAAGUGAAGCAAAAUAAAAUAUCGAAUACUAGCGACA